rnacentral:rRNA from 1 species
UACGUAGGUGGCAAGCGUUAUCCGGAAUUACUGGGUGUAAAGGGAGCGCAGGCGGGAUAGCAAGUCAGUUGUGAAAACUAUGGGCUCAACCCAUAGAUUGCAGUUGAAACUGUUAUUCUUGAGUGGAGUAGAGGCAAGCGGAAUUCCGAGUGUAGCGGUGAAAUGCGUAGAUAUUCGGAGGAACACCAGUGGCGAAGGCGGCUUGCUGGGCUCUAACUGACGCUGAGGCUCGAAAGUGUGGGGAGCAAACAGG